ACUGGGGGUCGUUUCGGACCACAACCGCAGCUGAUAGAGAGGGGGGAAAAAAAAUAUCACGUUUGAUCCUCUUACGAUUCAAUCCGGGCUGCAGCCGUCGGGAUGAAACGAACACGACCGGACAGAUCCAGAGUUUUAGAUACUCGACCGGCGACAUGAUCAACGACCCGACAACAAAGCAAAAGGAUGAGUUUUUAGGACGCGGUUCGUCUCAUCUGUGCAUCUGUAGCGACACGCUGCUGUGGUUCUUUUUCACGCUGCACUGAAUCAAACAGACCAAACUAAUUAAAAACCUGUUCCCCUCCUCGUCUGUGGGGGCGCCACACCAAGAACCACUGAAGGAAACGGCAAAAAAUCCUCUGAAGACACCGUGAGAAACUUUCUUCUUCACCAAAUGUAAACAAAAAAACGGACUGGCGUCAGGUUUUAGAAGUUGUAGUAUUUCUCUUUUAUCUUUGGUAAAUCCAUUUCUCCCGCUAGCGCUAAGCUAACAUGUUUGUUUUGGUUGUAUUUACCCAGAAUGCCCUGCAUUUUAGUUCACUUCCUGCUUUUGGAGCGGCUAAAGAUUAACCAGAAUCAUUCCGAUUUUUAAAAAUUGUAAUUCUUUUGACUCUGUAAUUUGAAGUACUUUGCUUUAUUUACUAUUGAUUGUAAUUUUUCAUUUAAUAAAAUGUUAAAGGUCUUUUUAAGGGCGAGUGUUGCUAAUUAGCUAUGGCUGUAUACACUGUGAUGCAGACAGGAUUGUUUUUGUUUUGCUCUA